rnacentral:rRNA from 1 species
AUUGAACGCUGGCGGCAGGCCUAACACAUGCAAGUCGAACGAGUGGCGGACGGGUGAGUAAUGUCUGGGAAACUGCCUGAUGGAGGGGGCUAACUACUGGAAACGGUAGCUAAUACCGCAUACCAUCGGUUGAACCCAUACGGGAUUAGCUAGUAGGUGAGGUAAUGGCUAACCUAGGCGACGAUCCCUAGCUGAUCUGAGAGGAUGAUCGGCCACACUGGGACUGAGACACGGCCCAGACUCCUACGGGAGGCAGCAGUGGGGAAUAUUGCACAAUGGGCGCAAGCCUGAUGCAGCCAUGCCGCGUGUAUGAAGAAGGCCCUAGGGUUGUAAAGUACUGUCAGUCGGGAGGCGUUACCGACAGAAGAAGCACCGGCUAACUCCGUGCCAGCAGCCGCGGUAAUUC